UGGUGCUUUGCUGUCAAUACAAUUUGCCUCAUCGGGUUUACCGUGGUCUUCUAGAUCAACCUCAGCAAGUAAAUUAUCACGUUUAACUGUGCUACUUUCUCUCAUUGUGCGCUUUAUGGAGACUAGUGUUACAACUUUGAGAACAGAAACUCUCGUAGAGGAGUAGUGCACUUUUGGUUUCCUUUCACACCGGGUAAUGGAGGCGUUCUGAUUCUGGUUCAGGCCGUGAUACAGAUUAGAGGAGUGAAAAUAGGGAAGUGGUUGGCCAACUAAUUAAGUAGAGGAGAUAUCGCAGCAGCCAACUGAACCAGAGAUUUUGGGGGAAGAGCUGGCUGAGUAAAUCAACAAUUCAAUUUCGAAUUUCUGUUACCUUUAUUUCAGCACCUUAGUAUCUAUAAAUAGGGAGUCUCUUAUCAGUUUAGACAUCUUUUGGAGAGAUCAGAAAUAGGACGGCAUAGCCGUAGGCCUCUGCGGAGGAUUAUCGUGGCCUCCUUCGUGAGGAUUGUUAUUUUAUUUGCUUCUUUCUUUGUCCUUUUUAUCAAUAAAUUGAGAUCUUAUUUCCUUAAUCAGUGUUCUAUUGAUUGAGUUGGAAUUCAGCCUUUACUCCUAACAGGCCGUCUUGAACUUAAAGUUAUCGGGCUCCGACAAUAUUUCCUCAUACAUGGUUGCUAUCUCCUGCCUAAAAUCUAAAGCUUUAUCUAUUCUUUUGCAACUCUGUGAAACUGAAAGUGUAUCAUACCUGGAUGAGGUGGCCAGCAACACAACAACUCAAAAUAUGGCAAAGUCUGUUGGACUUGAGGUUCUUGCAUUGCUGGUAAAAGCUUGGAAUAGAUUCAAGACAGGUAUAUGCUCCCUCCGAGGUACUGGCUGCAGUCAUUACGGCAGGUGCUUCUAGAGAGCCUGAAAUCCUAGCUGAAAUAAGGGAUGCUGUUUUUUCUUUCAUUCGUAAAAUGGAGCCCAGAAGAGUGAUGGAUACGAUGCUUGUCUCUCGUGUUAGGAUUUUCUAUAUAAUGUCCCGGCUUGCUCGAUCACCGGAGCUACAAUCAAUUAAGUUUCUCCAGUUGAGCGCUGGAAGAUCUCUAGUUCGUUACGAUUCUAGUUCAAGGAAUAUGCUUGUUGGGGACCGAAUUCAAGGGUUCAAAGUAAAUAUAAAACCAGAGAAGAAGUCAAAGUUGUCAUUAGUAGUUCUGAAGAUACGUGGGGAAUUGAUCAGCAAAGCAACAAAUCCACACACAGCGGAUGGGCCAUUCUAACCUUGUCAUUUCAGAAGCAAAGCAACAAUCAAUGAUUUCCUUUCCAUUGCUGAUGACACGGCUGCAGGAGCAACUGGUCAGCUGGAACUUCUCUCUACAGCAAUAAUGGAUGGUUGGAUGGCUGGACUUGGUGCUGGCCAGCCUCCGACUACCGAUGCUCUUGGACAGUUGUUAUCUGAAUAUGCCAGAUGUCUUUAUACUUCACAGCUGCAACAUUUGAAGGAUAUUGCUGGUACUUUGGCGACUGAAGCAGCGGAAGACUAUGCUCAAGUAGCUAAGCUACGUUCAGCUCUUGAAUCUGUUGAUCACAAGAGAAGAAAGAUUUUACAACAAAUGAAAAACGACGCAGAGAUGUUAAAUUUAGAAAGUGGCGCUGCGCCUAUUCGGAGUCCUUCCACUUCUGCUGAAGAUGCAAGGCUAGUGUCGUUAAUCUCCCUUGACAGCAUACUGAAGCAAGUCAAGGUUUUUCAUCUUUCUCCAAUUUCUCAUCUUUUAACUUUCUGGCAGAUGUCGCAGAUGCUUCAACUUUUCUGUCAUUCAUCAUGAAGUGUGUUUAUAGUGUCUCUAUUUUCUGUAUGUGUAAAGUGUGUGUAUUUGUGUAGUGCCGGCAGUGUAUACAUUUUGUG